AACGAACGCUGGCGGCAUGCCUAACACAUGCAAGUCGAACGAGACCUUCGGGUCUAGUGGCGCACGGGUGCGUAACGCGUGGGAACCUGCCCUUAGGUUCGGAAUAACUCCCCGAAAGGGGUGCUAAUACCGGAUAAUGUCUUCGGACCAAAGAUUUAUCGCCUUUGGAUGGGCCCGCGUUGGAUUAGCUAGUUGGUAGGGUAAAAGCCUGCCAAGGCGACGAUCCAUAGCUGGUCUGAGAGGAUGAUCAGCCACACUGGGACUGGGACACGGCCCAGACUCCUACGGGAGGCAGCAGUGGGGAAUAUUGGACAAUGGGCGAAAGCCUGAUCCAGCAAUGCCGCGUGAGUGAUGAAGGCCUUAGGGUUGUAAAGCUCUUUUACCCGGGAUGAUAAUGACAGUACCGGGAGAAUAAGCUCCGGCUAACUCCGUG
rnacentral:rRNA from 1 species